AUUGAACGCUGGCGGCAUGCCUUACACAUGCAAGUCGAACGGCAGCAUGGAAGAGCUUGCUCUUCUGAUGGCGAGUGGCGAACGGGUGAGUAAAGCAUCGGAACGUACCGUGUAGUGGGGGAUAACGUAGCGAAAGUUACGCUAAUACCGCAUACGCACUGAGGUGGAAAGCAGGGGAUCGCAAGACCUUGCGCUAUACGAGCGGCCGAUGUCAGAUUAGCUAGUUGGUAGGGUAAAGGCCUACCAAGGCGACGAUCUGUAGCGGGUCUGAGAGGAUGAUCCGCCACACUGGGACUGAGACACGGCCCAGACUCCUACGGGAGGCAGCAGUGGGGAAUUUUGGACAAUGGGCGAAAGCCUGAUCCAGCCAUGCCGCGUGAGUGAAGAAGGCCUUUGGGUUGUAAAGCUCUUUCGGCCGGGAAGAAAUCGCAUGGGUGAAUACCCUGUGUGGAUGACGGUACCGGAACAAGAAGCACCGGCUAA
rnacentral:rRNA from 1 species